ACAAUAAGCUAAUCAGACAGAAUAGUGUUGAAUGUUUGACUUUUUAGAUAUUAGUUGUAGCUAACAAUAAGUUUUUUUUAUAUUAAAUCCUUUUCUUUCUCGAGGUACAAACUGAACAUAAUCAUAUCAAUUGCUCACAGAAUUGAGUAGAAGUACACAAUGAACGUGUCGAAAAUAUUUCAUUAUUAUUGGACGGAAAUAGCAGUGCGACAUGUCUUCGUGAUCUAUAAUCGUAUACGCUACUUCGAUGAGUGCCCGAAGGGAAACAACUUUGAGAUGUCUAGACUAGAUUUGAUUCUUCCAAGCAUUCGGUGGUCUCUGAACAUAUUGUAGAU